rnacentral:rRNA from 1 species
AUUAAAUGAGAGUUUGAUCCUGGCUCAGGACGAACGCUGGCGGCGUGCCUAACACAUGCAAGUCGAGCGAAGUAUAUUUAAGUGAAGUUUUCGGACGGAACUUAAAUAUAUCUUAGCGGCGGACGGGUGAGUAACGCGUGAGCAACCUGCCUUUCACAAAGGGAUAGCCUCGGGAAACUGGGAUUAAUACCAUAUGAAACUUAACUUUCGCAUGAAAGAUAAGUCAAAGCGAAUAAGCGGUGAAAGAUGGGCUCGCGUCCUAUUAGCUAGUUGGUGAGGUAACGGCUCACCAAGGCGACGAUAGGUAGCCGGCCUGAGAGGGUGAACGGCCACACUGGAACUGAGACACGGUCCAGACUCCUACGGGAGGCAGCAGUGGGGGAUAUUGCACAAUGGAGGAAACUCUGAUGCAGCGACGCCGCGUGAGUGAAGAAGGCCUUCGGGUCGUAAAGCUCUGUCCUAGGGGAAGAUAAUGACGGUACCCUAGGAGGAAGCCCCGGCUAACUACGUGCCAGCAGCCGCGGUAAUACGUAGGGGGCGAGCGUUGUCCGGAAUUACUGGGCGUAAAGAGUUCGUAGGCGGUCUGAUAAGUCAGAUGUGAAAGGCGUAGGCUUAACCUAUGUAAGCAUAUGAAACUGUCAGACUUGAGGUAAGGAGAGGAAAGUGGAAUUCCUAGUGUAGCGGUGAAAUGCGUAGAUAUUAGGAGGAAUACCAGUGGCGAAGGCGACUUUCUGGACUUAAACUGACGCUGAGGAACGAAAGCGUGGGGAGCAAACAGGAUUAGAUACCCUGGUAGUCCACGCCGUAAACGAUGAGUGCUAGGUGUCGGGUAGAAAUAUUCGGUGCCGCAGCUAACGCAAUAAGCACUCCGCCUGGGGAGUACGUACGCAAGUAUGAAACUCAAAGGAAUUGACGGGGACCCGCACAAGCAGCGGAGCAUGUGGUUUAAUUCGAAGCAACGCGAAGAACCUUACCAGGGCUUGACAUGCCCCUGAC